rnacentral:misc_RNA from 1 species
UCCGAGUUGACCCCGGCAGUCUCCUACGAGUCCCCGGCAUAACCCGCUGGCAACAUAGGACAAGGGUUGCGCUCGUUGCGGGACUUAACCCAACACCUCACGGCACGAGCUGACGACAACCAUGCACCACCUGUAUAGGACGCCGAAGCACACCACAUCUCUGUGGCUUUUCCCUAUAUGUCAAGCCCUGGUAAGGUUCUUCGCGUUGCAUCGAAUUAAACCACACGCUCCGCUGCUUGUGCGGGCCCCCGUCAAUUCCUUUGAGUUUUAGCCUUGCGGCCGUACUCCCCAGGCGGGACACUUAAUGCGUUAGCUGCGGCACGGGAGGAGUCGACACCUCCCACACCUAGUGUCCAUCGUUUACGGCGUGGACUAC